GCAGGCAGAGAAGCAGGCAAAGAGCCCAAUGCGGAGCUUGAUCCCAGGACCCCAGGUUCAUGACCUGAGCCGAAGGCAGAGGCUUUAACCCACUGAGCCAGGUGCCCCAAAAUGAUGGUUUUUAAAAGACAAGGCCAAAUGCUUCUCUUUGUGUCAGAACCUUACUUCCAUGCCAUUGAACCCUACGCCAAGAAAGAACUUUGCUGUUAUUUUCCUGAUACUUUCCACAAUUGCAAAGUCACGGCUGAGGAAGAUAAGAGAAUCCCCCGAAGUAUCUGUGUCCAGGUAUUGAUAAAGACCAUGCCCUUGGGAAAUACUACUGCAGGCCAAAGGAAGCCCCAGAACUAAUGGAACUCGUUGGUCCUAAAGGAACUGGGUGCCUCACGACUGAGUUGGUUUGUGUGUGUGAAGUUUUCCGCUCUCGCCUUCAGACCACAGACAAUGCUCUCCCCAUGUCUCCCGAGGAGUCGGUCCUAUCGAGUUGGACAGUACGGUGACUGCAGCCCAGAGCAUGAAUUCGUCUUACCUUCUCUGGCCAUAUUUUCCCGUCCCCUCUGUGAUCCCCUCCUGCUACUCUUUUCCUUCACAGCCUGUGUUUCCAGGGAAAUGAAGACGAACACAUUUGCUGCAGCCUAUUGAGAGCAAGUGGAUUCUUCCCUAAUUCACAAACAUCUGUUACUCUGAAGGGCUUCAUUCAUCUUAUGAAAGGUCCGGAGAGGAAUGGAGAACGUAGACGGACUGUGGCAACAGCAUUAACACUCGGAUCCAGGGGAGGGGCGAGGGGCCUCCUGAUGCUCUUCACUCUGCUUGCUGCAGGGCCAGAGAAGGAGAUGCCAAGUCCCAAGAGGAGACCCAGCAUCCCAGAGGAUCUCCAUCAAUAAGAGCCAGUGCUGCCUUUUGGAUUCCAGAACCAGGAAGAAGAGUGUGCUCCAGGGAGAUCGCUAUGGCGGGCAUGACAAUAAGAGCCCCUGGGAAAGACACAGCGAGAGAAGGAACACAAGCAGGGGGAGUGGAAGAGGGAGAAGCAGGCUUCCCGCUGAGCAGGGAGUCCGAUGUGGGGUUCGAUCCCAGCACCCAGGAGUCAUGACCUGAGCCAAAGGCAGAUGCUCAACAACUGAGCCACCCAGGUGCCCCCACAUGAUUUUAUCGCCUCCAUUUCUUCAUCAUGCAACAGUGCUAGAAGAGCGGCCAGCCGCGGGCUUGCGUGAGGCUUUCAUCAGGGCGCUCAGGUGAGGACCUCCGCAGCAUGCCGGCACCUGACUCACACUCGGUAGCCCUUACCUGCGUACCUCCUGUUUCCUGUUUCCUGUUCCAGUGAACCAUCCUCCCUCUGCUGAAAAAAAUCCCAUGAGGAAUACUGAUCAGAUGCCAGAGCUGUGGAGCAGAUCCCCUGGAGGCCAUCAUGUUUCUAGAAGGCUCCUAGAAGGCAACAAGUCUUGCAACCUGACUCUUAACUGACUUCUUCUUACCUGUUGGAUUGUCUCAGGGCAAGGGGAAAAGGACACAGGCAUGCUUUCUGCUUCCAGACAAAAUUAUGUAUUUCAUAAUGGAAGAAAUCUUUUCAUACCAACAAUUGAAAUUCACUGUACCCUGUCAAAGGCAACAGAGGGCAAGAGACCUGGAACCCAGCUGCCUGGGUUUGGGCACCAGCUCUACCCCUUAUCUGUGGGGCCCCGGGCAAGUUGCUUAAUGUGUCUAUGCUCCGGUUUCCUCCGGUAAAAUGCGGGCGAUAACAGUACAUGAAUCCAUGUAUUUUUGUGAAGAUAAAACUGGGUUUGUCAGACUGAAGGAUUGUCCCGGGACGCUCGGGGAUACAACUGGGAAAGUCCCAGGCAAACCCACCCUAAGAUAAAAGGGGAGUACACUGUAGUGCUUUAGGCACAUUUCACUGCUCCGUCCGUAGUCUUAGCUGCCAUUAUUCACGGUUACCCCCGGCAGCCAUCUUCCUUGCCGUUGGUGCCAUGGUCCUCGUUUACUUAUCGUCCACUCUAUAGGGGACUUCCGUGUGUCUCUUCACCCACACCACCAUUGAUCUGGCACCACCAAACUCCCCCAGGAAAUGUUUCUUGCUGUUUAUAGAACAAGCUUCCAGAGAAUCAACUAUAUGCCAGGCAAACAGCUUCCCAACAAAUCGUGUAGUCUUUCUCCCUCAACCCUCCAGCAGCAUCUAACUUGAAGGUUAAAAUAGAGAGAAUGCCAUGUGAUGACAGACUGAUGUACUCACAUCCAAGGAACAGCCAUGAUGGCCGGCAACCCCAUGAAGCUAAGGGGAGAGGCCUAGAACCUUCCCCCUCACAACCCCCAGGAGGACCCAACCCUGGCAACACCUUGAUUUUGGACUUCUGGCCUCCAGAACCGUAAGAGGACAGAUUUCUGUCGGUUUAAGCCCUCUGGUUGGUGGCACCUUGUUACAGCAGCCCGAAGAAUCAAGGACAGCCUGCUUAUGACCCAAGUCUAGACCUUCCCAGUCUUGUGUCCUGACAAAUCCAAGGGCCUCUUCACUGGUCUCCCUGCCUGUGUUAUCUGUCUCUCCUCAUGUCUGUCUGAAAACACCAGCUUGUGGCUCCCAGGUCAGAGACACCCCGUGACACCCAGCGCCUCCAUCAGCACUUCCCAAAUUUACCGGAGGGUAAGAAUCCCACAGAUGAUACUUCAAAUUACAGGUUCCCUGGCCCCAUUCCAGACCUCUGGAAAUGGGCUUGUGGAAGGGGAGCCUUGGAAUCUGCAUUUUUAAUGAGCAUCCAGAAUGACUGGUAACCUCAGGGACAUUUGGGGCACUCUGGCCCACGAGAUGAAAUCCAGAAGAGACCGAGGAUCUUGGUUCUGUGACUUCCAUACCAUGACACCAACCUCAUAUUCAAAUGUCACUUCCUGAGGUUUCCAGGGCCUCCGAAUUCAUCCCGCUGUGCUGCCUGCCUCGCAGUCCUUCAGCUUGCUCAUCCUCUACCCAAGGAUGCUGGCGUCCUUGAGAACCACUCCGGCCUCGCCAUCCCCCCCGCCCCCCUGAAAACUGCUCUUCCUUUCCUCCCUCUUCUAAAUCUAGAAUCCAGAAUCUGAAUGAUGCCACUUAAAGCUUAAAGUUAUCUCUGAUUACUCAGAGACAGCCUUUCGGUGAACUCAGAAUAAAAACAAAACCCCACACCCCCACCUGCAAAGACCCAGCAUGACCGGGCCCCACCCACCUCUCACAAGCCGCCUCUUCUGGAACCAUUCUCCUUCAGUCUCGAAGUUCCAGGCACGGGCUUUCCUGUAAUUCCUCAAACACACCGCAUUUCUCCCGCCUGGAUUCUUGCCACAUGCUCUUCUCUCUCCCCACCCCCAACACCUUAUAAUAUUUCAAUAUCAUGUCCUCAGAGCUUUUCCUACAACCCAUCCUAAUUAGAACGCGCACGCGUGCACACAUACACACACACACUCUCUCUCUCUCUCUCUCUCUCCACUUAUACUCAAUCACCACCCUGUUUGACCAAUUGCAGACAUUUAAAAAUCAGGAAGUGUGACGUAAAACCAUCCAACCUCAUAAGGAAUCAGAAGGCCUGCCAUGACAAAGCCAUGUUCUCAGCCACACAGGUGGGAGGUGAGCCCUGGCCUGGCCACCCCCCAGCCUCUCCACUCCCUUCAGCUACCAGCCUGGGCCCAAACAACCGUGUUUGUGACACUUCCUUGACCCCCCUCCCAAAAUGAAUUCACUUAUCACAUGUCUGCCUCAUGGAAACAGAUGGUCUUGGUCCCCAGAGCAGCCCCAGCGUCUCGCCUGUGCCAGGCACAGGGCUGGACCUCACCGAACAAGAACUGAAUGAGUGAAUGAUGGAUAGAUGGAUGUCCUGCCUUCCCGUGUCCCAUAAGCCAUACCAUUCAUUUUGCCUUUUAAUUACACCCUUCCCCACUGCACUCAUUAAUUUGCUGCCCCCGGUGCCUCCCUCCUCUGUAGAGCUUAUGAAAAUACAAAUCUGAUCCUUUCAUCGCCCAGUUGUAAACAUUCGAGGAGUCUCCCAGCACCACUGGGGAAAGCACAGACUGGUCAGGAGAGCAUGUGAGGCCCAUCUAUCUCAUCAUCCUUUCCCACCUCCAGAGAGGAGAGGGCCCCCCCCACCGGGCACACCCACGCCCCACGCAAUGGCUUAGGGAACACACCAUGUUCUUCCCCGCCCCCACACCUCUGCCGCAAAGCUCCCUUUCCCUGGAAUGCCUCCUCCCCCGUCCCACAGCCCGCCAUGCCUCUAGCAAACUCCCACUCCUUCUUCUGCCCGAUGGCUAACCAGAGAGUCACUUCACUGUGAAACACUCCAGACCGCCCCCCCACCCCCAGGCUGACUUAGUCAUUCUCUCUCUUCUGCUCCCGCCCUCCUCCUUGCGUACCCUGGCCUCAGCCCUGAGUCAUGGCUCAAAAUAGCAGCUGAUGUCUUCUGAGUGCUUGCCGCGUGCCAGGACAGAGUGAGCUUUAUCGCCUUUAAUCCUUGCGCUCGUGCUGAGCCCCUGCCUGCAAAGAAGCCUUCCCCGCUCCGCCCCCUCCCCCAAACACACAGAGAUGCAGACGGAUCACUUUCUCACCCCAGCUUCCCUGAGAGGUCACCCCUGCCACCUCCUGUUGGGUUUUCUUUCUCCUUCCACACCUUGCUCUACCCCCCUGGCCUCCCCAUCUUCCCUCCCUGCUUUAUUUUUCUCCACGUAUCACUAACACACUACACAUUUUGAUUAAUCUGUGUGUUCAGUCUCUACCCUGUGGAAUGUCAGCUCUGGGAGGGCAGGGAUGUUGUCACGUCUUGUUUACUACUGUAAGCUUACCUUCUAGAAUAGCACCUGGCACAUAAUAGACUAUAAAUACUUAUUAAUUCAAGGAGGAUAGAUGUUAUCACUAUCUUCGGUUGAUUCCCAAGGUAAAUGGUCUAGAGAGAGAAAGAUGGGUUCCACAGGUGGUAGAGUCAAAUGUGAUCUCUGGAAUGUCAACUCCAACAACCCCCCACCACCCUUAACUACAGCGGCCACCACUUCCUGAAGACAUCUCUCCCUGGCUCUGACUUCUCAGCUGGACGUGGGUUCCUUGGAAGCAAGAACUCUAUUGUAUUCAGAUUUUUGUUUCCUUGCAUGAUCCAUGGUAGAAGCUCAAGAAUAUUUGCGGAACCAAUCUAUAUGUGAACUGUGAAAUGCUAGAUGGUAGAAAUCCUAUCCUCACUUUUUAUCCUUUAUCUCCAUGCUGAAAGCAGUGCUGUAGACAUAGCUGAGGCUUUAAAUACUUACUACAUUAACGAAUUCUGUUAUGGCACUAGGUCAUAAAAAUAAUUAGCAAUCAUGACAAUAAUGGGUAACCUUUACAAAGUCCUCACUCUGUGCUGGGUCCUUUCCUGAAUGCUUUGCACACAAAUGAAGAUGAUCAACUCUCUUCCUAUCCUCAUUUUCUAGAUGACGAAAUGGAAGCUCAGAGAGGUUAAGAGCUUGCCCAAGGUCACACAGCUAGGAAAUAGCAGAGGCAGGAUUUGAAUGUAGGCACCUGAGAGUCACAUUUUUAACUACUCUGGGCUGCAUCUCAGCUAAGAGAUGUCCAUUACAAGGCCAUCCCAUGUGAAGACAAGAAGAAUGGUUUAUUAUACAUUUCUGUUUUAUUUCAAGGGAUUUCUUGAAAUUCUGCCAAAGGCUUUGGUAGGCAGUACUACUUGCUAAAUAAUAACCACUAGCAUGCGUGUUACACUUGAUGGUUGGCAGAGCGCUUCAUGCACUGCUUUUCCGCUGACCCCUGCAACAAUGUUAUGAGGUGGCUGCUUCUGUCUCGUCUCAUAGAAGAGGACUCUGACGCUCUGAGCGGUUAAACGAACAAGUUCAAGGUCACCCAAUCAAUGCGGAGCAGAGCAAGGGCUCAAGUUAACGUCUAUCAGAAAAAUAUUAAGAUCUGACUGUUUUCUUUCUUUCUUUUUUUAAUAAGACUUUUUAAUGUAUUUAUUUGACAGAGAGAGAUCACAAGCAGGCAGAGAGAGAGAGAGAGAGGAGCAAGCAGGCUCCCCGCUGAGCAGGGAGCCCGAUGCGGGACUCGAUCCCAGGACCCUGGCAUCAUGACCUGAGCUGAAGGCAGAGGCUUUAACCCACUGAACCACCCAGGCAUCCCGAUCUGAGUGUUUUCAACCAUAAGAUUCUUCCAUGUCACUUACAAGUAAAUAAAAUAAUCCACAGGAGAGCAUUCGGCACGGUGCAUGGAACAAGGUAGGACCCUCAGAUAAAUGGGAAUUAUCAUCAUCUUCAUCCACACCUCCUAGGACUGGAAUAUUUUAGCUGAUGACGGCAGACCGUCUGUGAAGCCUGAUGGGAAGAUUACCCAUUUCAUUCUAGUUCGUCCCUGGUAAUGUUGAAAUAAUGAUCAAUCUCCAUUAUCCCUGGGGAACCGAAGAAUGUUAAGAGCUGGAAGGAGUUGCGGAGAUGAGCUCAUCCAGCGCCUGCAUUCACAGACGGAGAAAUUAAGUCCUAGAGAGGGAAGAGGUCAGAGGGCAAACUUCUCCAGGGUAGGGCUCCGGCACUGUGCCUGGCACAUACGGCCUCCCAUGAAGACGGCUUUUACCUAAAAGGGCAUCUAGCUUCCUAAAGGCUACAGGAGGUAAUUCGUUCGUUUCCUGAGCUUCCAGCACUCCCGCCCCACCCCCACACAAAGUACCAAAGUGUUAUAAGCUAUUAACCAGAAAACCGGUCAUGUGACUUAAUUCCACCUCUGCUAAAGGGCUUAAAAUGCUUUGGUGAGUAGUCUGAGAUUCAUAAAUAUACACUUCAACUCUUAAAGAAUUAUUAACCAGCUCCAUCAGAACUGGAACUUGAGCAAUCAAGGGGAAAAAGAGCUGGCAAGAAAAAUGUCUUGAAUAAAAUCUCGCCACUAGUAUAUAUGACUCUUUGGCACCUCAUUCUCCCUUUCUUAAAGACAGAAGUACUGAAAAGGGCGAUGUGGCACCGGUGUAACCCCUACUGGCUUCUUCAGAGGGCGGAGACAGGCUGGACGGACCUGCCAGCGUGUGGGUGUGAUAAUCAGUGGUAGCCCAUUCCCAACUAACGAUUUUGAGACCCUAUAAUUUAUCGAGUCCGUGUCAUACUCACCUUACUUAUCUCACUAACUCACUGGGUACUAAUUCUCCCAGGCAUGGGACUAGCUUUUCAUUCCAUGAUCAGCUUUCGCUUGAGGAUUUGGGGGUGGGGAGGGAUGACGGAGAGAAAUGAGAUUAGGGCUCAGUCUGGGAACUAAAGAAACAGAAAUAUAAACCCUCCUCUGUGCUGUUGCUCUGGGCUUCACGCUUCUCAAGGAAGGCUGAGUUUCAGGCCCUGCCAACAAACGCGCAGCCACAAUAGCUCAUGGAAUGAAAAGGUUCCCUCCUCCACAAUACCUUUAUCAAAUUCAAACUAUUUUCCACAUUCCUUCCUUACACCACUCAGGCACACCUGUGACGCAGGCCUCAGAGCAAAUUCCACUCAGGAGAUCCAGGAAGCUCUGGCCCGGUCCUCCCUGUAGAAAGGAAAGUCCAAGAAGGAUACCACACCCGGAGGAGGGGAGAGAGGACAUGACAAUGCCUCUAGGAAUGCAGGGCCCACGCAGGUAUCCAGUGGUGUUUUACAGAAGGGACAUGGUGUGCGAUGAUGUCACCCUGAUGACUCAUGGAAUGUGUGUGCUUGUAUGUUCUUUUGAUGAAACAUUCUGUUUUAGUUCUCAG